rnacentral:rRNA from 1 species
CCCGUACACAAAAAUGCACAUGCUGUGAGCUCGAUGAGUAGGGCGGGACACGUGGUAUCCUGUCUGAAUAUGGGGGGACCAUCCUCCAAGGCUAAAUACUCCUGACUGACCGAUAGUGAACCAGUACCGUGAGGGAAAGGCGAAAAGAACCCCGGCGAGGGGAGUGAAAAAGAACCUGAAACCGUGUACGUACAAGCAGUGGGAGCACAGAGCAAUCUGUGUGACUGCGUACCUUUUGUAUAAUGGGUCAGCGACUUAUAUUCUGUAGCAAGGUUAACCGAAUAGGGGAGCCGAAGGGAAACCGAGUCUUAACUGGGCGUUAAGUUGCAGGGUAUAGACCCGAAACCCGGUGAUCUAGCCAUGGGCAGGUUGAAGGUUGGGUAACACUAACUGGAGGACCGAACCGACUAAUGUUGAAAAAUUAGCGGAUGACUUGUGGCUGGGGGUGAAAGGCCAAUCAAACCGGGAGAUAGCUGGUUCUCCCCGAAAGCUAUUUAGGUAGCGCCUCGUGAAUUCAUCUCCGGGGGUAGAGCACUGUUUCGGCAAGGGGGUCAUCCCGACUUACCAACCCGAUGCAAACUGCGAAUACCGGAGAAUGUUAUCACGGGAGACACACGGCGGGUGCUAACGUCCGUCGUGAAGAGGGAAACAACCCAGACCGCCAGCUAAGGUCCCAAAGUCAUGGUUAAGUGGGAAACGAUGUGGGAAGGCCCAGACAGCCAGGAUGUUGGCUUAGAAGCAGCCAUCAUUUAAAGAAAGCGUAAUAGCUCACUGGUCGAGUCGGCCUGCGCGGAAGAUGUAACGGGGCUAAACCAUGCACCGAAGCUGCGGCAGCGACGCUUAUGCGUUGUUGGGUAGGGGAGCGUUCUGUAAGCCUGCGAAGGUGUGCUGUGAGGCAUGCUGGAGGUAUCAGAAGUGCGAAUGCUGACAUAAGUAACGAUAAAGCGGGUGAAAAGCCCGCUCGCCGGAAGACCAAGGGUUCCUGUCCAACGUUAAUCGGGGCAGGGUGAGUCGACCCCUAAGGCGAGGCCGAAAGGCGUAGUCGAUGGGAAACAGGUUAAUAUUCCUGUACUUGGUGUUACUGCGAAGGGGGGACGGAGAAGGCUAUGUUGGCCGGGCGACGGUUGUCCCGGUUUAAGCGUGUAGGCUGGUUUUCCAGGCAAAUCCGGAAAAUCAAGGCUGAGGCGUGAUGACGAGGCACUACGGUGCUGAAGCAACAAAUGCCCUGCUUCCAGGAAAAGCCUCUAAGCAUCAGGUAACAUCAAAUCGUACCCCAAACCGACACAGGUGGUCAGGUAGAGAAUACCAAGGCGCUUGAGAGAACUCGGGUGAAGGAACUAGGCAAAAUGGUGCCGUAACU